rnacentral:rRNA from 1 species
CCGAGAUUCCCCCAGUAGCGGCGAGCGAACGGGGAGGAGCCCAGAGCCUGAAUCAGUGUGUGUGUUAGUGGAAGCGUCUGGAAAGGCGCGCGAUACAGGGUGACAGCCCCGUACACAAAAAUGCACAUGCUGUGAGCUCGAUGAGUAGGGCGGGACACGUGGUAUCCUGUCUGAAUAUGGGGGGACCAUCCUCCAAGGCUAAAUACUCCUGACUGACCGAUAGUGAACCAGUACCGUGAGGGAAAGGCGAAAAGAACCCCGGCGAGGGGAGUGAAAAAGAACCUGAAACCGUGUACGUACAAGCAGUGGGAGCACGCUUAGGCGUGUGACUGCGUACCUUUUGUAUAAUGGGUCAGCGACUUAUAUUCUGUAGCAAGGUUAACCGAAUAGGGGAGCCGAAGGGAAACCGAGUCUUAACUGGGCGUUAAGUUGCAGGGUAUAGACCCGAAACCCGGUGAUCUAGCCAUGGGCAGGUUGAAGGUUGGGUAACACUAACUGGAGGACCGAACCGACUAAUGUUGAAAAAUUAGCGGAUGACUUGUGGCUGGGGGUGAAAGGCCAAUCAAACCGGGAGAUAGCUGGUUCUCCCCGAAAGCUAUUUAGGUAGCGCCUCGUGAAUUCAUCUCCGGGGGUAGAGCACUGUUUCGGCAAGGGGGUCAUCCCGACUUACCAACCCGAUGCAAACUGCGAAUACCGGAGAAUGUUAUCACGGGAGACACACGGCGGGUGCUAACGUCCGUCGUGAAGAGGGAAACAACCCAGACCGCCAGCUAAGGUCCCAAAGUCAUGGUUAAGUGGGAAACGAUGUGGGAAGGCCCAGACAGCCAGGAUGUUGGCUUAGAAGCAGCCAUCAUUUAAAGAAAGCGUAAUAGCUCACUGGUCGAGUCGGCCUGCGCGGAAGAUGUAACGGGGCUAAACCAUGCACCGAAGCUGCGGCAGCGACGCUUAUGCGUUGUUGGGUAGGGGAGCGUUCUGUAAGCCUGUGAAGGUGUGCUGUGAGGCAUGCUGGAGGUAUCAGAAGUGCGAAUGCUGACAUAAGUAACGAUAAAGCGGGUGAAAAGCCCGCUCGCCGGAAGACCAAGGGUUCCUGUCCAACGUUAAUCGGGGCAGGGUGAGUCGACCCCUAAGGCGAGGCCGAAAGGCGUAGUCGAUGGGAAACAGGUUAAUAUUCCUGUACUUGGUGUUACUGCGAAGGGGGGACGGAGAAGGCUAUGUUGGCCGGGCGACGGUUGUCCCGGUUUAAGCGUGUAGGCUGGUUUUCCAGGCAAAUCCGGAAAAUCAAGGCUGAGGCGUGAUGACGAGGCACUACGGUGCUGAAGCAACAAAUGCCCUGCUUCCAGGAAAAGCCUCUAAGCAUCAGGUAACAUCAAAUCGUACCCCAAACCGACACAGGUGGUCAGGUAGAGAAUACCAAGGCGCUUGAGAGAACUCGGGUGAAGGAACUAGGCAAAAUGGUGCCGUAACUUCGGGAGAAGGCACGCUGAUAUGUAGGUGAGGUCCCUCGCGGAUGGAGCUGAAAUCAGUCGAAGAUACCAGCUGGCUGCAACUGUUUAUUAAAAACACAGCACUGUGCAAACACGAAAGUGGACGUAUACGGUGUGACGCCUGCCCGGUGCCGGAA